CCUGCGCGUCCGGCCCCAGCCGCGGUCUGGGCAUCUACACCGCCCGAAAAGCGGCUAUAAACGCCCGCGCGUCUUUUGCGCUCCCCUCUUCACUCAGGACACUGGUCCUCCCACGCCUGAGACCGACGUCGCCAGGACCGCGGGGUCGGGGGGACUCGGCUGUUCCCCGUCUUUCAAAUAAAGCUGUUUGCCUAACUCA